UACGUAGGGUGCAAGCGUUAAUCGGAAUUACUGGGCGUAAAGGGCGCGUAGGCGGUUUGCUAAGUUGGAUGUGAAAACUCUGGGCUUAACCCAGAGCCUGCAUCCAAAACUGGCAAACUUGAGUACUGGAGGGGAAAGCGGAAUUCCUGGUGUAGCGGUGAAAUGCGUAGAUAUCAGGAGGAACACCGGUGGCGAAGGCGGGUCUCUGGGCCACUACUGACGCUGAGGAGCGAAAGCGUGGGGAGCAAACAGG
rnacentral:rRNA from 1 species